UUAAGCGACUAAGCGUACACGGUGGAUGCCCUGGCAGUCAGAGGCGAUGAAGGACGUGCUAAUCUGCGAUAAGCGUCGGUAAGGUGAUAUGAACCGUUAUAACCGGCGAUUUCCGAAUGGGGAAACCCAGUGUGUUUCGACACACUAUCAUUAACUGAAUCCAUAGGUUAAUGAGGCGAACCGGGGGAACUGAAACAUCUAAGUACCCCGAGGAAAAGAAAUCAACCGAGAUUCCCCCAGUAGCGGCGAGCGAACGGGGAGCAGCCCAGAGCCUGAAUCAGUGUGUGUGUUAGUGGAAGCGUCUGGAAAGGCGCGCGAUACAGGGUGACAGCCCCGUACACAAAAAUGCACAUGCUGUGAGCUCGAUGAGUAGGGCGGGACACGUGGUAUCCUGUCUGAAUAUGGGGGGACCAUCCUCCAAGGCUAAAUACUCCUGACUGACCGAUAGUGAACCAGUACCGUGAGGGAAAGGCGAAAAGAACCCCGGCGAGGGGAGUGAAAAAGAACCUGAAACCGUGUACGUACAAGCAGUGGGAGCACGCUUAGGCGUGUGACUGCGUACCUUUUGUAUAAUGGGUCAGCGACUUAUAUUCUGUAGCAAGGUUAACCGAAUAGGGGAGCCGAAGGGAAACCGAGUCUUAACUGGGCGUUAAGUUGCAGGGUAUAGACCCGAAACCCGGUGAUCUAGCCAUGGGCAGGUUGAAGGUUGGGUAACACUAACUGGAGGACCGAACCGACUAAUGUUGAAAAAUUAGCGGAUGACUUGUGGCUGGGGGUGAAAGGCCAAUCAAACCGGGAGAUAGCUGGUUCUCCCCGAAAGCUAUUUAGGUAGCGCCUCGUGAAUUCAUCUCCGGGGGUAGAGCACUGUUUCGGCAAGGGGGUCAUCCCGACUUACCAACCCGAUGCAAACUGCGAAUACCGGAGAAUGUUAUCACGGGAGACACACGGCGGGUGCUAACGUCCGUCGUGAAGAGGGAAACAACCCAGACCGCCAGCUAAGGUCCCAAAGUCAUGGUUAAGUGGGAAACGAUGUGGGAAGGCCCAGACAGCCAGGAUGUUGGCUUAGAAGCAGCCAUCAUUUAAAGAAAGCGUAAUAGCUCACUGGUCGAGUCGGCCUGCGCGGAAGAUGUAACGGGGCUAAACCAUGCACCGAAGCUGCGGCAGCGACGCUGAUGCGUUGUUGGGUAGGGGAGCGUUCUGUAAGCCUGUGAAGGUGUGCUGUGAGGCAUGCUGGAGGUAUCAGAAGUGCGAAUGCUGACAUAAGUAACGAUAAAGCGGGUGAAAAGCCCGCUCGCCGGAAGACCAAGGGUUCCUGUCCAACGUUAAUCGGGGCAGGGUGAGUCGACCCCUAAGGCGAGGCCGAAAGGCGUAGUCGAUGGGAAACAGGUUAAUAUUCCUGUACUUGGUGUUACUGCGAAGGGGGGACGGAGAAGGCUAUGUUGGCCGGGCGACGGUUGUCCCGGUUUAAGCGUGUAGGCUGGUUUUCCAGGCAAAUCCGGAAAAUCAAGGCUGAGGCGUGAUGACGAGGCACUACGGUGCUGAAGCAACAAAUGCCCUGCUUCCAGGAAAAGCCUCUAAGCAUCAGGUAACAUCAAAUCGUACCCCAAACCGACACAGGUGGUCAGGUAGAGAAUACCAAGGCGCUUGAGAGAACUCGGGUGAAGGAACUAGGCAAAAUGGUGCCGUAACUUCGGGAGAAGGCACGCUGAUAUGUAGGUGAAGUCCCUCGCGGAUGGAGCUGAAAUCAGUCGAAGAUACCAGCUGGCUGCAACUGUUUAUUAAAAACACAGCACUGUGCAAACACGAAAGUGGACGUAUACGGUGUGACGCCUGCCCGGUGCCGGAAGGUUAAUUGAUGGGGUUAGCGCAAGCGAAGCUCUUGAUCGAAGCCCCGGUAAACGGCGGCCGUAACUAUAACGGUCCUAAGGUAGCGAAAUUCCUUGUCGGGUAAGUUCCGACCUGCACGAAUGGCGUAAUGAUGGCCAGGCUGUCUCCACCCGAGACUCAGUGAAAUUGAACUCGCUGUGAAGAUGCAGUGUACCCGCGGCAAGACGGAAAGACCCCGUGAACCUUUACUAUAGCUUGACACUGAACAUUGAGCCUUGAUGUGUAGGAUAGGUGGGAGGCUUAGAAGUGUGGACGCCAGUCUGCAUGGAGCCGACCUUGAAAUACCACCCUUUAAUGUUUGAUGUUCUAACGUUGACCCGUAAUCCGGGUUGCGGACAGUGUCUGGUGGGUAGUUUGACUGGGGCGGUCUCCUCCUAAAGAGUAACGGAGGAGCACGAAGGUUGGCUAAUCCUGGUCGGACAUCAGGAGGUUAGUGCAAUGGCAUAAGCCAGCUUGACUGCGAGCGUGACGGCGCGAGCAGGUGCGAAAGCAGGUCAUAGUGAUCCGGUGGUUCUGAAUGGAAGGGCCAUCGCUCAACGGAUAAAAGGUACUCCGGGGAUAACAGGCUGAUACCGCCCAAGAGUUCAUAUCGACGGCGGUGUUUGGCACCUCGAUGUCGGCUCAUCACAUCCUGGGGCUGAAGUAGGUCCCAAGGGUAUGGCUGUUCGCCAUUUAAAGUGGUACGCGAGCUGGGUUUAGAACGUCGUGAGACAGUUCGGUCCCUAUCUGCCGUGGGCGCUGGAGAACUGAGGGGGGCUGCUCCUAGUACGAGAGGACCGGAGUGGACGCAUCACUGGUGUUCGGGUUGUCAUGCCAAUGGCACUGCCCGGUAGCUAAAUGCGGAAGAGAUAAGUGCUGAAAGCAUCUAAGCACGAAACUUGCCCCGAGAUGAGUUCUCCCUGACCCUUUAAGGGUCCUGAAGGAACGUUGAAGACGACGACGUUGAUAGGCCGGGUGUGUAAGCGCAGCGAUGCGUUGAGCUAACCGGUACUAAUGAACCGUGAGGCUUAACCUU
rnacentral:rRNA from 1 species